AUUGAACGCUGGCGGCAGGCCUAACACAUGCAAGUCGAGCGGAUGAAGGGAGCUUGCUCCUGGAUUCAGCGGCGGACGGGUGAGUAAUGCCUAGGAAUCUGCCUGGUAGUGGGGGAUAACGUCCGGAAACGGGCGCUAAUACCGCAUACGUCCUGAGGGAGAAAGUGGGGGAUCUUCGGACCUCACGCUAUCAGAUGAGCCUAGGUCGGAUUAGCUAGUUGGUGGGGUAAAGGCCUACCAAGGCGAAGAUCCGUAACUGGUCUGAGAGGAUGAUCAGUCACACUGGAACUGAGAAACGGUCCAGACUCCUACGGGAGGCAGCAGUGGGGAAUAUUGGACAAUGGGCGAAAGCCUUAUCCAGCCAUGCCGCGUGUGUGAAGAAGGUCUUCGGAUUGUAAAGCACUUUAAGUUGGGAGGAAGGGCAGUAAGUUAAUACCUUGCUGUUUUGACGUUACCAACAGAAUAAGCACCGGCUAACUUCGUG
rnacentral:rRNA from 1 species